rnacentral:misc_RNA from 1 species
GGGGGAUAACGACAUUGUUUGGUGAGAGAAAAGCCGAUUAGUAUUGUUUAGUGAGGGAGAAACGAGAACCAUUAACAGAGAGAAGAAAGGAGUUUCGCCUAGCAGCGUCGUUUGAUGAGAAAGAGAGAUUACAAAGGUAGAAUCCUUGCCGGAGACAAUGGGUUAGCGAAUGAGGCAUAGAUUUGCAGAGCAACGAUUCACAGACAGAGAAGAUAAG